UACGGGGGGAGCAAGCGUUGUUCGGAUUUACUGGGCGUAAAGGGCGCGUAGGCGGUCAGCACAAGUCAGUUGUGAAAUCUCCGGGCUUAACUCGGAAAGGUCAACUGAUACUGUGCGACUAGAGUGCAGAAGGGGCAACUGGAAUUCUCGGUGUAGCGGUGAAAUGCGCAGAUAUCGGGAGGAACACCAGCGGCGAAGGCGGCACUCUGGGCUGGAACUGACGCUGAGGAGCGAAAGCGUGGGUAGCAAACAGG
rnacentral:rRNA from 1 species